AGCGAACGCUGGCGGCAGGCCUAACACAUGCAAGUCGAACGAACCUUUCGGGGUUAGUGGCGGACGGGUGAGUAACACGUGGGAACGUGCCUUUAGGUUCGGAAUAACUCAGGGAAACUUGUGCUAAUACCGAAUGUGCCCUUCGGGGGAAAGAUUUAUCGCCUUUAGAGCGGCCCGCGUCUGAUUAGCUAGGUGGUUGAGGUAAUGGCUCACCAAGGCGACGAUCAGUAGCUGGUCUGAGAGGAUGAUCAGCCACAUUGGGACUGAGACACGGCCCAAACUCCUACGGGAGGCAGCAGUGGGGAAUCUUGCGCAGUGGGCGAAAGCCUGACGCAGCCAUGCCGCGUGAAUGAUGAAGGUCUUAGGAUUGUAAAAUUCUUUCACCGGGGACGAUAAUGACGGUACCCGGAGAAGAAGCCCCGGCUAACUUCGUG
rnacentral:rRNA from 1 species